rnacentral:rRNA from 1 species
AUACAGAGGGUGCGAGCGUUAAUCGGAAUUACUGGGCGUAAAGCGCGCGUAGGCGGCUGAUUAAGUCAGAUGUGAAAUCCCAGGGCUCAACCUUGGAACUGCAUCUGAUACUGGUCAGCUAGAGAUUAGGAGAGGGAAGUAGAAUUUCAGGUGUAGCGGUGAAAUGCAUAGAUAUCUGAAGUAAUACCAGUGGCGAAGGCGGCUUCCUGGCCUAAAACUGACGCUGAGGUGCGAAAGCGUGGGUAGCAAACGGGAUUAGAAACCCCUGUAGUCC